rnacentral:rRNA from 1 species
GUGAAUAACUAAGGGCGCGCGGUGGAUGCCUAGGCUCUCGGAGGCGAUGAAGGACGCGAUAAGCCGCGAUAGGCCACGGCGAGGUGCAAGUAACCCUUGACCCGUGGAUUUCCGAAUGGGGCAACCCGGCCGUCUAGAUGACGGUCAUGCAGUAAUGCAAGCGAACGCGGGGAACUGAAACAUCUCAUUACCCGCAGGAGAAGAAAACAAAUAGUGAUUCCCCCAGUAGUGGCGAGCGAACGGGGAAGAGCCCAAACCGUUGCCGUUUCGGCGACAGCGGGGUCAUGGGACCGCGAUACUCGACGGAAGACGAAGUGCAAUUACCUGGAAAGGUAAGCCGUGGAGGGUGACAGCCCCGUGCACGACACCUCUUUCAAAGAUAGCGGUAUCCCGAGUAGGGCGGGACACGAGAAAUCCUGCCUGAAUUCGCCAGGACCUCCUGGCAAGGCUAAAUACUCCCGAGAGACCGAUAGUGAACCAGUACCGUGAGGGAAAGGUGAAAAGAACCCCGAGCAGGGGAGUGAAAUAGACCCUGAACCCGCGCGCCUACAAGCGGUCGGAGCCAUGAAAUAUGGUGACGGCGUGCCUUUUGCAUAAUGAGCCUACGAGUUAGUCGUCACCAGCGAGGUUAAGGGCUUCAGGCCCGUUAGCCGAAGUGAAAGCGAGCCUUAACAGGGCGUCGAGUUGGUGGCGCUAGACGCGAAACCUUGUGAUCUACCCACGAGCAGGUUGAAGUCGCGGUAACACGUGAUGGAGGACCGAACCGGUAAACGUUGAAAAGUUUUCGGAUGACUCGCGGGUAGGGGUGAAAGGCCAAUCAAACUGGGAAAUAGCUCGUACUCUCCGAAAUGCAUUUCGGUGCAGCCUGUGAUGUUCUGUUCCAGAGGUAGAGCUACUGGUUGGACGCGAGGGCUUCACCGCCUAUCAAAUCCGGAUAAACUCCGAAUGCUGGAACACGAAAUCAUGGAGUGAGCCCGCGGGUGCUAAGGUCCGCGGACGAGAGGGAAAGAACCCGGACCACCGGCUAAGGUCCCGGAUGGACAGUUAAGUUGAUCAAACGAGGUGGGAUCGCUGAGACAGCUAGGAUGUUGGCUUGGAAGCAGCCAUUCAUUUAAAGAGUGCGUAACAGCUCACUAGUCGAGCGAUCCCGCGUGGAUAAUACACGGGCAUUAAACUGUCAACCGAAGCCGUGGGGUUAGUUAAUGACUAACCGGUAGGAGAGCAUUCCUGCCAGCUUUGAAGGUCACCCGCGAGAGUGACUGGAGCGGCAUGAAAAGCAAAUGUAGGCAUAAGUAACGAUAAUGGGGGCGAGAACCCCCCACGCCGCAAGACCAAGGAUUCCCCGGCAAUGUCAAUCAGCCGGGGGUCAGCCGGCCUCUAAGGCUCACCCGAGGGGGGAUGCCGACGAGAAACGGGUUAACAUUCCCGUGCUUCUCGUCACCGUGACGCGGUGACGGGGUGAUGAAUGGACCGCGCGCUGACGGAAUAGCGCGUUGAAGGCCGUACCCGAUGAGGGUGGUAGUCAAGCACGCCACCCGAGGCGAGAGCCGAUAGUACCACGAGACCCCGGUCGAGUGGAUAGCGUCCAGGCAAUUUACCCCCUAGAAAACCCGCUAAACUUCAAGUGACGAGGAACCGUACUGUAAACGGACACACGUGGUCGGGUAGAACAUACCAAGGCGCUCGAGUGAUUCAUGGUCAAGGAACUAGGCAAAAUAGUCCUGUAACUUAGGGAAAAAGGACGCUCUAGUGAUAGAGCCGCAGAGUAAUGGCCCAGGCGACUGUUUACCAAAAACACAGGUCUAUGCUAAAUCGAAAGAUGACGUAUAUGGCCUGACACCUGCCCGGUGCCGGAAGGUUAAGAGGAGAGCUCAUCCGAAAGGAGAAGGUUUGAAUUGAAGCCCCGGUAAACGGCGGCCGUAACUAUAACGGUCCUAAGGUAGCGAAAUUCCUUGUCGGGU